ACUAACAUCUGGACAUGUGGAACC
rnacentral:piRNA from 1 species